rnacentral:lncRNA from 1 species
UUUUAACCAGGAGAAGUGGGAAAUGGAUCCCCCAAAACCUCAUACUGUAGCACUUGGAGAUUGACAAUGCCCACCAGCGUGUUAAAGCCUGCAGUAAAAAACAAAAACAAAAACAACUCCCACAAAAACCUAUUUACCUUUGAUUAUUCCACUGUUUUCCAAACCUAUUUGACCAUAGAUCAGUUUUUGCACCUUACCUAUUACCUUCUCAUGAAACACUUGUGAAAUGCUAUGUUAGAUCUUUUUCUGUUUUCUGCUGGAUUUAUCAAAAAUAAGGUCAAGUUUGGUAAAGAUGCUGGGUUUCAAUGUCAUUGUGGCCUGAAAUGGGAACCUUAUUGCUGCAUUCUUAGCUGAGCUCUGCCACCCUCACUGGGGCUGGGCUAGGACCUUAGAUGACAUUCUGAGUCACCCAUUGUGUAAGUAAGUGCCAUUUGACCCAGGCAACACCCCAUUUCCCAACUUUCACCAAAUGAUGAAUGGGAUCAUGUUUUCUCUCAAAUAAUCCACAUCAGGAUUACAGGCCAAGGAGGCCAGUUCAGUAGAAGUUCGUGGGAUAGUGGUCCAGAGUGAUUGGCAUGUCAGCCCAGGAAAUCCAACAAAACGUGCAUGGCCUGUGAACCAUAUAAAUACAUUCCACCAAUCCCAAGCCAGAGUCAGAUCCCCCCAAAAUGUUCACCAGACCCACCGAGAAGCCAGAGCAGAAAAGGGUAGCAGCUGUGAUUGACAGUAGUUAAACUCUAUUAUUCUACAGUGUUUUCAUAUCUGACCAUGUGAACACAUUACUAGGGCCCUAAAGGAAUCUGAAGCUUGAGCUGUGUAAGUGUCAUGGUAUUAAACAUCCCAAAUAUGCCUCUGGGACUCCUCUGACUUUGUGUCUUCAUCUAUAUAAUGAUCAAAACAAUUCUGGCAUAUGUAUCCAGAUCCUUUUAGGUGAGAAUCAGAAAUGGACGAAAACAUAAAGCCUCUGGAACCUAGAGGCGCUGCCUACAAGGUCAAGAUGACAACUGUGAAGACCACAGUGAUGCGGGCUCAGCAGGAACUGCUGAGACUUCUUUGGUUUUAGGGGUCAGCACUCCUGCGGGGUCUAAUGUCCUGCCAAAUGCUCACUCUUAGAGACGAGAAACUCCAAUACGAGAACUUUCAAGCUUAAGGCUUUGAUCCUAGUUAAGGGAUUUCCAUACCUUCCACCCCACUGCUCCCCAGAGAGAAAUGUGACAAUGAGCUUCAGCUCUGUCGAAUCCGGACUACAUGGAACCUCUCUGGGUUGGCUUCUCAACCGAUUUCAGAGUUGUGAGCUGAGAAAGAACAGCAGGAGAGAGGCCACAGUUAUUCAGGGGACUCCUGCCUUGCUGGGGGCUUCCGCAGCCCCUGACCAACCAUCCUGGUGUCACUGCUGAGACAGCAGCCUGAACAAGGGCAAUGGGACCCCAGAGACUGCAUCUGUACAGGCGGAGCCCCAGGGCUUUAGACCCUUUGCUCCAGUGAUCUUAGAGCCAUAAUAUUAUCAUCCAAAAUGAUGAGAGAGUAAGUGGCAAGCAUACCUAGACAUCUUCUGAGCCCAGCAGACAGAAUUUUGGUUUAAGGAGAACCUGGGUAGUAUAAUGACACAUAAUAUUUUUUUAUAUAUAGGCAUCACAGUCUAUGAAUUGUACUGAUUCAUCUCAUCUCAAGAAGAUGGUAUUUUAGAUGUAUGUGUAUAUAUUUGAAGCCAAAACUGUUUAUUUUGUGUAAUUUUUUGUGCCUAUUAGUUUCUGAAUAUCUGUGCAUAAAAGCUUCUGUUUCUCUGCCUGCACACAUUUGUGGGUACACACUAUACACCUAUGUGGGGUAGGAGGGGGGAAUGGGCAUAUUUGUUUGCAUUUACCUUGUGUUUGGUCCUAGGAAGGGAUCUUGGUGAUCAUUCCAGCCCAGCUCUUUCACCUCAAUGGUGAAGAAACUGAGGUCCAGAAAGGCAAGGUGACUUGUCACAGGUAACACAGCUGGCUAUGGAGACAGAGGUGACACAAGAACCUAGGAUUUCUGAUUUGUAGAUGAGAACUCUUUCUAUAAUAUUAAAAUCAAUUAUAAAUUUUGGGGAGGGAAGCAGGGAGAUCCUUGUUUUUUCCUCCCCCAACUGAUAAGUAAGUACUAAGAAGGUCAAUCUUGAAUUAGCUAUAUAAUACCAAAAGUUAAGUUUUUCACACAGACCUGGUUCAGUAUUGAUUCCUUUUAUGAAAACCCUGUUUAUACUCAAGUUGUCAAAGAAUUCCAGAGGGCAUAUGAAGCCAUUGUUAAAAUAAUUUUAUGCCUUUGUUUUUGAAGAAAAGUGAUGGUUGCACAUCGUGAAUGUAUUUAAUGCCACAGAAUAGUACACUUCAAAUGGUUGAAAUGGUAAAUUUUAUGUUAUGUACAUUUUAACAUAUUAAAAAACACACUUUUCAAAAUUUAGUUAAAAUUUCUAGGGAUAUUUUGGCAAAACCUGGGAGUGAGGAGUCCCAAUUCUCCCAUGUGAACUUAGGCCGCACAUUUCGAGGAAGUAAAUUUUCUUCCUCUGGCAAAUGCAGCUAGCCAGUGGACCCCUUCUCUCCCUCCAAACUUCGCACUCCACACCUUAGAGUCUGCCCAGGUACAGCCCAAUUGUCAGGGCAUACUCAAAGCAGCUUCCAUGACCCUGCAAAGGGAGCUACAGUCCUGGCUCAUAGGCCAUUCUCAGGGAUACCUGGAUCCCUUCUCUGGGUUCUAUGUAUCCUCUUAUUUUGGAAUUAAGACGAAAGGAGGGCUUUCCAACCAUAUUGACCUUUUACAGCAGACCUGGCUCAGCCAUGCCUGAGUCCCCAGUGCCUGAGCCAGUGCCUGACACAGCAGGUGCUCAACAUUCAUUUGGUCACUGAGAAGACGCCC